AGAGUUUGAUCAUGGCUCAGGACGAACGCUGGCGGCGUGCCUAACACAUGCAAGUCGAGCGGAGAUUAUAGCAAUGUAAUCUUAGCGGCGGACGGGUGAGUAACGCGUGGGCAACCUGCCUCAUACAGGGGGAUAACACUGGGAAACUAGUGCUAAUACCGCAUAACAUCAAGAGAGGACAUCCUAUUUUGAUCAAAGGAGUAAUCCGGUGUGAGAUGGGCCCGCGUCCGAUUAGCUAGUUGGUGAUGUAACGGACCACCAAGGCGACGAUCGGUAGCCGAACUGAGAGGUUGAUCGGCCACAUUGGGACUGAGACACGGCCCAGACUCCUACGGGAGGCAGCAGUGGGGAAUAUUGCGCAAUGGGGGGAACCCUGACGCAGCAACGCCGCGUGAAGGAUGAAGGUUUUCGGAUUGUAAACUUCUUUGAUGAGGGACGAAAGAAAUGACGGUACCUCAAAAACAAGCCACGGCUAACUACGUGCCAGCAGCCGCGGUAAUACGUAGGUGGCGAGCGUUGUCCGGAAUUACUGGGUGUAAAGGGCGUGUAGGCGGGGAUGCAAGUCAGAUGUGAAAUUCCACGGCUCAACUGUGGCGCUGCAUCUGAAACUGUGUUUCUUGAGUGCUGGAGAGGAAAGCGGAAUUCCUAGUGUAGCGGUGAAAUGCGUAGAUAUUAGGAGGAACACCAGUGGCGAAGGCGGCUUCCUGGACCGACACUGACGCUGAGGCGCGAAAGCUAGGGGAGCAAACGGGAUUAGAUACCCUAGUAGUCC
rnacentral:rRNA from 1 species